CCUACGGGCGGCAGCAGUGAGGAAUAUUGGUCAAUGGACGAGAGUCUGAACCAGCCAAGUAGCGUGAAGGAUGACUGCCCUAUGGGUUGUAAACCUCUUUUAUAUGGGAAUAAAAUGUUCCACGUGUGGGAUUUUGUAUGUACCAUAUGAAUAAGGAUCGGCUAACUCCGUGCCAGCAGCCGCGGUAAUACGGAGGAUCCGAGCGUUAUCCGGAUUUAUUGGGUUUAAAGGGGGGGGAGGGGGAUUGUUAAGUCCGUUGUGAAAGUUUGGGGCUCAACCGUAAAAUUGCAGUUGAAACUGGAAGUCUUGAGUACGGUAGAGGUAGGCGGAAUUCGUGGUGUAGCGGUGAAAUGCUUAGAUAUCACGAAGAACUCCGAUUGCGAAGGCAGCUCACUGGACUGCAACUGACACUGAGGCUCGAAAGUGUGGGUAUCAAACAGGAUUAGAUACCCGGGUAGUC
rnacentral:rRNA from 1 species